AGUGGCGCACGGGUGAGUAACGCGUGGGAAUAUACCCUUUAGUACGGGAUAACCAAGGGAAACUUUGGCUAAUACCGUAUACGCCCUUCGGGGGAAAGAUUUAUCGCUAAAGGAUUAGCCCGCGUAGGAUUAGCUAGUUGGUGAGGUAAUGGCUCACCAAGGCGACGAUCCUUAGCUGGUCUGAGAGGACGACCAGCCACACUGGAACUGAGACACGGUCCAGACUCCUACGGGAGGCAGCAGUGGGGAAUAUUGGGCAAUGGAGGAAACUCUGACCCAGCCAUGCCGCGUGAAUGAUGAAGGCCUUAGGGUUGUAAAGUUCUUUCGUUGGUGAAGAUAAUGACGGUAACCAAAGAAGAAGCCCCGGCUAACUUCGUGCCAGCAGCCGCGGUAAUACGAAGGGGGCUAGCGUUGUUCGGAAUCACUGGGCGUAAAGCGCACGCAGGCGGUCAUGCAAGCCAGAGGUGAAAUCCCGGAGCCUAACUCCGGAACUGCCUUUGGAACUGCAUGGCUAGAGUCUCGGAGGGGGUGGCGGAAUUCCUAAUGUAGGGGUGAAAUCCGUAGAUAUUAGGAGGAACACCGGUGGCGAAGGCGGCCACCUGGACGAGUACUGACGCUCAUGUGCGAAAGCGUGGGGAGCAAACAGGAUUAGAUACCCUGGUAGUCCACGCCGUAAACGAUGAGUGCUAGGUGUU
rnacentral:rRNA from 1 species